rnacentral:rRNA from 1 species
GAAUUUAAGCAUAUAAGUAAGCGGAGGAUAAGAAACUAAACGGGAUUUUCUCAGUAAUUGCGAAUGAAGAGGGAGUAGUUCAGUUUGGAAAUUGGGGCCCCUUGGCCUUGAAUUGUAGUUUGGAGAUGCGCCGCCAAUGGAGGCGUAGAUGUAUACCUCUUGGAAGAGAGCAUCAGUGAGGGUGAGAGUCCCGUUUGCCAUCUGCAGCCCGCUGUGCACGGGGCGGUUCCAAAGAGUCACGUUCCUCGGAACUGGAGCGCAAAGUGGGUGGUAACUUUCAUCUCAAGCUGAAUACGGUUUCGAGACCGAUAGUGAACAAGUACCAUGAGGGAAAGGUGAAAAGGACUUUGAGAAGAGAGUUACAAGUGCCUGAAAUCGCUGGAAGCAAAGCGAAGGGAACUAUGGCUGCUUGGUAAAAUCUUCUGCGCGCUCACAGGAUGGCUUGCUGUUUCAACGCAAGUGCGGCAGCUAGUCCCCAUCGAAGCGUGCGCUGUGUUUUUUGCCGCGCAUGUCAACGCCAACUUGCAAAUGAGGAAUGCUUCAGGGACACGACAACCUGCCUCCGGGCAGAUGAACGUGCCUGGCAGGAUUCGUUUGCCCAUUGAUUUGAGGCUGUCUGGUUGUAGUGACCCCGCAAAGGAGGUUGCGCCCCGGACGCAAAUGAAGAAGACAGAGUGGUUCCAUUCUACCCGUCUUGAAACACGGGACCAAGGA